rnacentral:rRNA from 1 species
UACGUAGGUGGCAAGCGUUGUCCGGAUUUACUGGGCGUAAAGGGCGCGUAGGCGGCCUGCUAAGUCGAACGUGAAAUCCCUGGGCUCAACCCAGGAACUGCGUCCGAUACUGGUUGGCUUGAAUCCGGGAGAGGGAUGUGGAAUUCCAGGUGUAGCGGUGAAAUGCGUAGAUAUCUGGAGGAACACCGGUGGCGAAAGCGGCUCACUGGACCGUUUCUGACGCUGAGGUGCGAAAGCUAGGGGAGCAAACGGG